CCCACCCACCACGGAGCGGGGGUAACCCUCUAGUUUUGUCUAAAUCUGUCAUCUCAAAUCGACCGCUUUCCCUCAUCACCGGGAAGUAGUCGAGUACGGGGAUAAUGCGAAGCCUACAAUACAUUCCCGGUUCUUGAGUCAUUGGUAUUCGUUAGGUGACUUGUUGAUCUUAGUGAAUGUCUCACUGGAUGAAGGCUAGUACAUAUGGUGAACUGAAGCCUCCUUUGGGGAAUUGAAGGCUCCUAUGGGGGAGCAUCUUCUAAAGGUGAGAGAUUGCACAUGAACAAUUCUUAUGAGGGGUGUAGAAGGAGGUACCUUUUAAAUAACAUUUCAAGGUGAAGACUUAACAGUCUCAGGGGGUAACAAACAAGUGAACAAUUUAAAUGGAAGCUGAGCUAGAAAGAUUGCACAAACAGAAAACAGAAACAAUGCAAGAAGUUAUUGGGUUACAGCGUGAACAUAUGAUAAGACACAUCGUUAUAUGGAAUCAAACAUGAAAAAAACUCAAAGCAGUCGAACAU